rnacentral:rRNA from 1 species
CAUCUGUGCCAUAUUACCCUGAACAUGCCCAAUCAUGUCUGAUUUUGGAAGAUAAUCAGGGUCAGGCCCAGAUUAGUACUUUAGUGGGAGAAUGCACCAACACAUGCACACAUAA